rnacentral:tRNA from 1 species
ACCGGUGUUACUGUAGUUAGCGAUAUAUCCCCGGUAAUCCAGAGAAGGCAAGCAGCCUCAGAGAAAGAGCGUGCCGGUUCGAGUCCGGCCACUGGUACCA